GAUACCAGGGGCAAAAGGUCUAAACCCACAUGGGCUCGCUCAUAGGUGGGUUUAGACCUUGUGACACGCCCCCGAUAUGAGCAUAAAAGUGGGAUGAUAAUCUCACGAUAUGUGAAUAUUGGGUAGGAUUGUGGGAGUGCAUAGCACGGAACAAUCCGUAGGUAUC
rnacentral:sRNA from 1 species